rnacentral:rRNA from 1 species
CGUCACACUAUCAUUAACUGAAUCCAUAGGUUAAUGAGGCGAACCGGGGGAACUGAAACAUCUAAGUACCCCGAGGAAAAGAAAUCAACCGAGAUUCCCCCAGUAGCGGCGAGCGAACGGGGAGGAGCCCAGAGYCUGAAUCAGCAUGUGUGUUAGUGGAAGCGUCUGGAAAGGCGCGCGAUACAGGGUGACAGCCCCGUACACAAAAGCGCAYAUGCUGUGAGCUCGAUGAGUAGGGCGGGACACGUGGUAUCCUGUCUGAAUAUGGGGGGACCAUCCUCCAAGGCUAAAUACUCCUGACUGACCGAUAGUGAACCAGUACCGUGAGGGAAAGGCGAAAAGAACCCCGGCGAGGGGAGUGAAAAAGAACCUGAAACCGUGUACGUACAAGCAGUGGGAGCACCCUUUGGGGUGUGACUGCGUACCUUUUGUAUAAUGGGUCAGCGACUUAUAUUCUGUAGCAAGGUUAACCGWAUAGGGGAGCCGSAGGGAAACCGAGUCUUAACCGGGCGUUAAGUUGCAGGGUAUAGACCCGAAACCCGGUGAUCUAGCCAUGGGCAGGUUGAAGGUUGGGUAACACUAACUGGAGGACCGAACCGACUAAUGUUGAAAAAUUAGCGGAUGACCUGUGGCUGGGGGUGAAAGGCCAAUCAAACCGGGAG